GACAGAGGAUGCAAGCGUUAUCCGGAAUGAUUGGGCGUAAAGCGUCUGUAGGUGGCUUUUCAAGUCCGCCGUCAAAUCCCAGGGCUCAACCCUGGACAGGGGUGGAAACUACCAAGCUGGAGUACGGUAGGGGCAGAGGGAAUUUCCGGUGGAGCGGUGAAAUGCGCAGAUAUCAGGAGGAACACCGGUGGCGAAGGCGGUGGUCUGGGCCGGCACUGACGCUGAGGAGCGAAAGCGUGGGGAGCGAACAGG
rnacentral:rRNA from 1 species